rnacentral:rRNA from 1 species
CUAAGAAUAUUCCGCAAUGGACGGAAGUCUGACGGAGCGACGCCGCGUGGAUGACGAAGGCCGAAAGGUUGUAAAGUUCUUUUGCUGGGGAAGAAUAACCGCAGGAGGGAAUGCCUGUGGGAUGACAAGAACCGGCGAAUAAGCCCCGGCCAACUACGUGCCAGCAGCCGCGGUAACACGUAGGGGGGCGAGCGUUGUUCGGAAUUACUGGGCGUAAAGGGCAUGUAGGCGGCUUGGAAAGCCUGGCGUGAAAGUCUGCAGCUUAACUGCAGGGGUGCGCUGGGAACUGCUGAGCUUGAGUGACGGAGAGGGAGCUGGAAUUCCUGGUGUAGGGGUGAAAUCUGUAGAUAUCAGGAAGAACACCGAUGGCGAAGGCAAGCUCCUGGCCGAUGACUGACGCUGAGGUGCGAAAGUGUGGGGAUCAGACAGGAUUAGAUACCCUGGUAGUCCACACAGUCAACGAUGUGCACUAGGUGCUGGGGCGGUAGCUUCGGUGCCGGAGGCGAACGUGGUGAAGUGCACCGCCUGGGGAGUAUGCUCGCAAGGGUGAAACUUAAAUGAAUUGACGGGGUC